rnacentral:lncRNA from 1 species
CUUUUGGCUUUCAACUCAACAUGGCCGCCACCAUUUCAUCUCUUUUUCAUCUCCCAAAUUCAUCAAUUCACAGCCACCACCAUUUCCUCUCCUUUUCAUCUCCCAAACUCACCAAUUUAAAUCAUCAUCAUCAAAUUGCCAUCAAUCAUCAUCAUCAUCAAUCAUCAUCAAAGGCGUGAAUUCUCAGUAGCUCCUAAACUCAUUCACGAUUACGGCUGGCGGCAGAAUAUCACACACACGAAGUGACCAAUUGAGAUUCACGGAAGUAGACGAAGCAAUGACCAACUGUACAAAUUUACUGGAUUUUCAUUCCUUGUCGCCAUUUGUGUUCUAUUUUGCUAUUAGUUUAGCUUUUGUUUGAUGAUGACAAGUUGACAAUCACAAAAUUUGGGUCUUGUUUUGUACUUUUGCUUCAUUGUUUUGUUAUAUUCUUUAAUCAAUUUCUU